GCUCCCCCUAGAGGCACUGCAGGUAUGGCGCUCUGUUACAUGUGCUUCAGUAGGUGGCAGAGAGGAGAGAAGCUAAGUCUACUGUCAGUGUUCUGCCCUACGAACAUCUGAAUGAUUAGUAGCCUCACGUU
rnacentral:snoRNA from 1 species